AUUUCCUUAGCUGCUGAGGACAUUCCAGAGGAGGUGAAUGAAGCCACAGAGCCAGAUGAAGUCAUUGAAGAGUUUGAUGUUGAUAAAGAGCCACCAGUAGAAAGCAAGCAGACAGAAGAUGAUGUGGCCACAGAACCAGAGGAAUCAGAAACUCCUGCUCAAGCUGAGGAUUAUUUGAAUGAUGAUGCAGUGGAUACUUAAAGCUUCAAAAGAAACAAUCCCUACAUCAGGAGGACCAGCCCUAAACCAUACUCUCCAAAAAAAAACACACAGACACACA